CUCGUUUCUCGUUUCCCUGUGUUUGUAUAUAAAGUCCUUCUCUUCCCCUGUUUCUUUCUUUGGUUCAUUUUGUGGAUUUAUGUUGUAAGUCUGCACGUCAAUGUCUCCAUGUGUUUUUUUUCCCUCAGUGUCUUUGUCUUUUGUUGGAUUUUAGAUUUUUUUAAUUAUUUAGAUUUUGCCUCCUGUGUUUCUUGGGAUUUUUGAGUUGGACAUUAUAAGAGGGUUUUUGUUGCUUUUUAUUUAGUUAUUUUUUCAUUAAAUCACCUUAUAUUCUGCAAUUGGGUCUUUUUUUUUCUUGUCGACUGUUUUGGUGUAUUAUGUCAUCGUUCCACUGGGAAACGACCUUUAGCGACCUGCUAAAAACCAGCUCUCUGUUUGUUUGUGUGAUUUUUGUCGUGGUUGUUGACUCUGGAUGUUUUUGUUUGGCCCCGCAGACCCAAAUGAAUCCAUUUAAUCAACGUUCAACUCCUGAUUUAGUUCAUUGAGUGGCUUCUUGUGCUUCAUACUUAUCUGAACUAUUUGUUCAAAAGGAGCUGGAGGACUAUCUGAACAUCCUGUCACAGAGUGUGCACCUGUAAGACGGUGUUUAUAGAUUUCAGAAUGUCUGACGGUGGCUGGAAUGUAAAUCUGAAGGACCUCCGAAAAAAGGGAAAGGAAGCAGAUAAGAUACAGAGAGGGGGGGUUCAAAUGUCACUUUAAUACAAGACUCUGUUUUUUUAUCUUUUAUAAAAAUAUUCUGUAGUUUGAGACUCUUCGGACAAUAAAAGACUAUGAAGUUUAAGGUCUAUAACACUGAAUUUACAACCGGU